UACGAAGGGUGCAAGCGUUACUCGGAAUUACUGGGCGUAAAGCGUGCGUAGGCGGUUUGUUAAGUCCGCUGUGAAAGCCCUGGGCUCAACCUGGGAAUUGCAGUGGAUACUGGCAAGCUAGAGUGCGGUAGAGGAUGGUGGAAUUCCCGGUGUAGCAGUGAAAUGCGUAGAUAUCGGGAAGAACAUCGGUGGCGAAAGCGCUCUACUGGACCGCAACUGACACUCAGGGACGAAAGCUAGGGGAGCGAAUGGG
rnacentral:rRNA from 1 species